rnacentral:rRNA from 1 species
UACGAAGGGGGCUAGCGUUGUUCGGAAUUACUGGGCGUAAAGCGUAUGCAGGCGGAUCGUUAAGUCGGGGGUGAAAUCCCGAGGCUCAACCUCGGAACUGCCUUCGAUACUGGCGAUCUUGAGUCCGGGAGAGGUGAGUGGAACUCCGAGUGUAGAGGUGAAAUUCGUAGAUAUUCGGAAGAACACCAGUGGCGAAGGCGGCUCACUGGCCCGGUACUGACGCUGAGGUGCGAAAGCGUGGGGAGCAAACAGG